ACGGCCGUAGCUCAGUCAGGUAGAGCGCCCCUCGUAUACGGGAGCACCCGUGCUGCUAUCUCCGGGUAUCGGCCGGUACGCGCGUAGGUUCGAAUCCUGCCGGCCGUU
rnacentral:tRNA from 1 species